CAGCAGCCGCGGUAAUACGAGGGGAGCAAGCGUUGUUCGGAUUUACUGGGCGUAAAGGGCGCGUAGGCGGCUCUACAAGUCACUUGUGAAAUCUCCGGGCUUAACUCGGAACGGUCAAGUGAUACUGUCGAGCUAGAGUGCAGAAGGGGCAAUUGGAAUUCUCGGCGUAGCGGUGAAAUGCGUAGAUAUCGAGAGGAACACCGGAGGCGAAGGCGGAUUGCUGGGCUGACACUGACGCUGAGGCGCGAAAGCUAGGGGAGCGAACGGGAUUAGAUACCCCGGUAGUCCUAGCCUUAAACGAUGAAUGCUUGGUGUCUCGGGUUACAUAGUCCCGGGGUGCCGUCGCUAACGCUUUUAGCAUUCCGCCUGGGGAGUACGCACGCAAGUGUGAAACUCAAAGAAAUUGACGG
rnacentral:rRNA from 1 species